UAAAAUGCAUUUCUUGCCCCUAAUGUUAUAUGACGGUGCCCCUUAAAAAAUACACAGAGGAAAACCAAAAUUCCUGGCCCGGAUGGUCCUUUAGAGGAACAUGUGAAAGCUCCACUCCCCUGCACAGGGGAAGGAACUAGCUGGUAUGGUGAGUUGCCCUGCAAGGAACAGCAUGAAAGUAACUGACAAAAACAGAGUCAUAUCCCAAGUAAAGUGUCAAAAUGUUGCUGUUCUGAUGGCUAUCUUGGUUAUCUUUUAUCUUUCCUUCCGGUCUUCAAAUUAAAUGAUCCUAUAAUUCUGAGCUUUGAUGUGAAACAUUUUUCUGUUGUUUGAUGAGCACAGUACUAGCUGGGGUGGAUGGAGAGUCUAUUAAGAGGGAAACGGAGAAGCUCAGCUGCUCUGAAGGCUGAGGUUGGUCUAGACCCUAGAGCUCUUCUCCCCUAAAGCCAGCCCUAAGACCCAGAAAGUGACUGUCUCCCUUCUCCUUGAAGACUCUCGCUGCCCCACAGCUGGAAGAAAGAAGUGCUGCAGGCUGAGGUGCCUGGACCCUGACCCUUAUGAUGGCAGAGGAAGGUCGUCCAACCUUUCCAUCUCUACAGAUUCCGCAUCUCUGGGAACCCUCCAGCGUGAGGAAGAAGAGGAGGCAGUGGGCCCAGCAUCAGAUGGCUUGCGUUCCUUCACAUGCUACAUGGCAACUCUCUCACUGCCCCCAUCACCAUGGGAAUGAGUGGGAAAAAGGCUCUGAGUGUGGAACUGCAGCUUCUGCAUGGACUUAUCCUACCGCUUCCCUGAUAAUGUAUGGAAUUUACAUGUGUGAUGGAUCAUGGACUCUACUUCAUGUCCAACCAGAGCAUUAAAAAACUGUGCUCCAUUUGUGUACCAUGAAUCAAACUGCAUUCUGCUAUCCUGUGUUAGAACAAAUAAAU
rnacentral:lncRNA from 1 species